UACGUAGGGUGCGAGCGUUAAUCGGAAUUACUGGGCGUAAAGCGUGCGCAGGCGGCGCGUUAAGACAGGUGUGAAAGCCCCGAGCUUAACCUUGGGAAUUGCGCUUGUGACUGGCGUGCUGGAGUGUGGCAGAGGGAGGUGGAAUUCCGACGUGUAGCAGUGAAAUGCGUAGAGAAUGUGGAGGAAUACCGAUGGCGAAGGGCAGGCCCCCUGGGACUAACGACGUGA
rnacentral:rRNA from 1 species